CGGGGCGUGGCUCAGUCUGGUAGAGCACUCGGUUUGGGACCGAGGGGUCGCAAGUUCGAAUCUUGCCGCCCCGACCA
rnacentral:tRNA from 4 species